rnacentral:rRNA from 1 species
CCCUUAGAUGUUCUGGGCCGCACGCGCGCUACACUGAUGCAUUCAACGAGUCUAAAACCUGCUCUGAUAGGGGGGGGUAAUCUUUUGAAUGUGCAUCGUGAUUGGGAUAGAUGAUUGCAAUUUUUCAUCUUCAACGAGGAAUGCCUAGUAAACGCAAGUCAUCAGCUUGCAUUGAUUACGUCCCUGCCCUUUGUACACACCGCCCGUCGCUCCUACCGAUUGAAUGAUCCGAUGAAUAUCAUGGAUUGAGGAUUAUAGCAGGUUCGCCUGUCUUGAUCUUCGAGAAGUGAAGUAAAUCUUAUCAUUUAGAGGAAGGAGAAGUCGUAACA